UCCCUGGUGGCUCAGAUGGUAAAGCGUCUGCCUGCAAUACAGGAGACCCAGGUUCGAUCCCUGAGUUGGGAA
rnacentral:tRNA from 1 species